AGUGAACGCUGGCGGUAGGCCUAACACAUGCAAGUCGAACGGCAGCACAGUAAGAGCUUGCUCUUACGGGUGGCGAGUGGCGGACGGGUGAGGAAUACAUCGGAAUCUACUUUUUCGUGGGGGAUAACGUAGAGAAACUUACGCUAAUACCGCAUACGACCUACGGGUGAAAGCAGGGGAUCUUCGGACCUUGCGCGAUUGAAUGAGCCGAUGUCGGAUUAGCUAGUUGGCGAGGUAAAGGCCCACCAAGGCGACGAUACGUAGCCGGUCUGAGAGGAUGAUCGGCCACACUGGAACUGAGACACGGUCCAGACUCCUACGGGAGGCAGCAGUGGGGAAUAUUGGACAAUGGGCGCAAGCCUGAUCCAGCCAUACCGCGUGGGUGAAGAAGGCCUUCGGGUUGUAAAGCCCUGUUGUUGGGAAAGAAAAGCAGCAGGUUAAUACCCCGCUGUUCUGACGGUACCCAAAGAAUAAGCACCGGCUAACUUCGUG
rnacentral:rRNA from 1 species